CAGCAGCCGCGGUAACACGUAGGGUGCAAGCGUUAAUCGGAAUUACUGGGCGUAAAGCGUGCGCAGGCGGUUAUAUAAGACAGAUGUGAAAUCCCCGGGCUCAACCUGGGAACUGCAUUUGUGACUGUAUAGCUAGAGUACGGCAGAGGGGGAUGGAAUUCCGCGUGUAGCAGUGAAAUGCGUAGAUAUGCGGAGGAACACCGAUGGCGAAGGCAAUCCCCUGGGCCUGUACUGACGCUCAUGCACGAAAGCGUGGGGAGCAAACAGGAUUAGAUACCCCCGUAGUCCCUGUCUCUUAUAC
rnacentral:rRNA from 1 species